UGGGAUUACAGGUGUACACAACUUUCCUGC
rnacentral:piRNA from 1 species